rnacentral:rRNA from 1 species
AUUGAACGCUGGCGGCAGGCCUAACACAUGCAAGUCGAACGAGUGGCGGACGGGUGAGUAAUGUCUGGGAAACUGCCCGAUGGAGGGGGAUAACUACUGGAAACGGUAGCUAAUACCGCAUACCAUCGGAUGUGCCCAGAUGGGAUGAGCUAGUAGGUGGGGUAUCGGCUCACCUAGGCGACGAUCCCUAGCGGGUCUGAGAGGAGGACCGGCCAAAUUGGAACGGGGACACGGUCCAGAUGCUUCCGGGAGGCAGCAGUGGGGAAUAUUGCCCAAUGGGGACAGGCCUGAUGCAGACCUGCCGGGUGUAUGAAGAAGGCCUUCGGGUUGAAAAGUACUUUCAGCGAGGAGGCGUUACUCGCAGAAGAAGCACCGGCUAACUCCGUGCCAGCAGCCGCGGUAAUAC